AUUGAACGCUGGCGGCAGGCUUAACACAUGCAAGUCGAGCGGGGUGAUGGUGCUUGCACUAUCACUUAGCGGCGGACGGGUGAGUAAUGCUUAGGAAUCUGCCUAUUAGUGGGGGACAACAUCUCGAAAGGGAUGCUAAUACCGCAUACGUCCUACGGGAGAAAGCAGGGGACCACUUGUGACCUUGCGCUAAUAGAUGAGCCUAAGUCGGACUAGCUAGUUGGUGGGGUAAAGGCCUACCAAGGCGACGAUCUGUAGCGGGUCUGAGAGGAUGAUCCGCCACACUGGGACUGAGACACGGCCCAGACUCCUACGGGAGGCAGCAGUGGGGAAUAUUGGACAAUGAGGGGAACCCUGAUCCAGCCAUGCCGCGUGUGUGAAGAAGGCCAUAUGGUUGUAAAGCACUUUAAGCGAGGAGGAGGCUCUUUUGGUUAAUACCCAAGAUGAGUGGACGUUACUCGCAGAAUAAGCACCGGCUAACUCUGUGCCAGCAGCCGCGGUAA
rnacentral:rRNA from 1 species